rnacentral:RNase_P_RNA from 1 species
UAUUUCGGGUAAUCGCUAUAGCAAUAUAGAGGAAAGUCCAUGCUCACACAAUCUGAGAUGAUUGUAGUGUUCGUGCUUGACGAAACAAUAAGUCAAGGCAUUAAAUUGACGGCAACGAAAUAGCCUAAGUCUUCAAAGAUAUGGCUAGAAUAGUUUGAAAGUGCCACAGUGACGUAGCUUUUAUAGAAAUAUAAAGGGUGGAACGCGGUAAACCCCUCGAGUGAGCAAUCCAAAUUAGGUAGGAGCACUUUUUUAGCGGAAUUCAACGUAUAAUUAAGGCAUACCUUUUAAAUUAAAGGUAUGUAGACAGAUGGUUACCACCUGCGUACGAGUGUUACUAGUACACGUUGGCAGUACAAAGGUACAAAACAUGGCUUAUAGAA